CACCGUGUUUUUAUUGAAUUCCGUUAACUUCGGGGUAUGGUUAAGAACGUUUAAGUGAACUAAUUGGCAUAGUUAAUUUUCAAAAAAAAAAUUUUUUUUUGCUUUUUUUAAAGAAAAAAUUAAGUUUAAAAAGUAAUUAAAUGUAGCAUAUAGCGUUGUUGUAACACGGGCAUUACAUUUAACUCAACCAAACAAUUGAAAUCUGUGACAUAUCAAUGUCAUUUCGAACAUCGAUCGACCAAGAUUGUACUUAAGUUUAUAAAUAUAUGAACUCAUUCUAAACACUAAUCAAUAUGUAAACCGGCCCUAAGGCAAGUGUAUACGCUUGUAGAGGACUUAUAGGAAAAAAAUAAAAUAUUGAUUGUCUCCGAAAUGGAGUUAAUAAGAAUAUCGGUGUCUUUGAGAAAGUUAGUUGAUUUAAGCUCAGGAAUGCACCCUUGAAAUUAACGGAAAACAAAAAAAAACACGGUGUAUAAAUAAACCGAGGAUGAUAAAAGGUUCGAAGAACACCUGGACGUGUUGUGUGACACUGAUUUUGACUGAAAAUUUUGUUGUACUCAAUGUUUAUUUUUUACUUAUUUAACUCCCCUGCCCAUGUAUCCAUUUCGAUACCAGAAUAUACAUGGGCAGAAGUGUAAGCGGCUUUAGCACAAGUGCCCAGCGACAAAUGUCCCGCGCGUGGCCGGUCUGUCUUUAAACGAUAUGUAAAAAAUGCGAUGGACGUGUGAUCUGUGCUAGGGUCGCAGAGUAAAAUAGAAUCGUUUUCUAAACAUCGUCUGAGAUAACGAAAUCUUUAUUUACUUGCAUGUAGGUAACUGAAAAAAUAAUCAUUAUAAUCAAAAUAAAAAGACUGGCCGAAGCCUAAAAUUUGACCUGUAUCAAAAUUGGUAAGAAAUCGUUUGAAUGACGCUCUUAAAAUGUCUGGAAGAAAUAUAUUGCAAGGCCCCUAAUAACUAUCGGUGUAAAUGUUGGCUAAAUAUUUGUUUGUUAAGAUACCUAUUUAAGACAUUGUUUAUAAUAGAUUAUAAUAUGUAUUGGUAUCGUCUUGGGACGUCCCAUUCGUUUUUCGUCAAGUUCUUAAAUUCCUAUUCUGCUUUCGUCACUCAUGGUACAUUCGUCACAAUCGUCGGUGGCUUUCAAUGUAGAAUGAGUGACGAAAGCAGAAUAGGACUAAUUUAAGAACUUGACGAAAAACGAAUGGGACGACCCAAGACGAUACCAUAAUAUUACACUGACCGUACUACUUAUGUAGAUAGACUUUUAUGGUUUGUUUACCCUACUGUGGCUAAGGGUAGGAUUCUUAAUUGUAUUGUAAGUUUCUCAAUUCAGGGGACCAAGUUGAAUCAUUUUGUAAAUCUGAACCUGAACUCUUCCCCCUGGAAGUUCUUUCUGUUUAUAUUUUUUUUACAAAAUAAAAUUUACAACUA